UACAGAGGUCUCAAGCGUUGUUCGGAUUCAUUGGGCGUAAAGGGCGCGUAGGCGGCGGGGUAAGUCGGGUGUGAAAUCUCAGAGCUCAACUCUGAAACUGCACUCGAUACUGCUCUGCUUGAGGACUGGAGAGGAGACUGGAAUUCACGGUGUAGCAGUGAAAUGCGUAGAUAUCGUGAGGAAGACCAGUGGCGAAGGCGGGUCUCUGGACAGCUCCGUGACGCUGAGGCGCGAAGGCCAGGGGAGCAAACGGG
rnacentral:rRNA from 1 species